GACAAGGUGAACCCUAUGGGAUUUGAAAUCUUCAACGUCCCCUCUCCAACAAUGCCUCAACAUAAUCAGAUCCCACAAAUGAACGCAAAUAUGCCCAGAAUACGAGGCACGGGCUCCGAUGUAAAUAGAAUGAUACAGGGCAUGAUUCAGAACAAAGUCCAGAAUUCCAUGCUGCCACCGACUCACUCGCCUACUAUGUCUUCACAAGAGACCUGUCCUGUAAUUCCUGUAAACAGACCUUAUCAGAAUAGCUUCAACAUUAACGGCGUCAGCGACAUGCGACUUUGGGUCUACCUUCCAGUAGAUGUAGUUUACAGGCGACCUCCAGAGUACGAGAGAUACAAUGCAUUCCCUGUUAUGAAUGGUCGUCCAAUGAAACAGACAGACAUUUACGAGCCCGAUGCUUAUAAAUCUCUUAAAGCACCCCUUGCUACAGGUCGUCCGGCCUCAUAUGCUUCGUGUAAUACUGGGCAGUUUGGUGCUGGUGCUGUUUUUAUUCAGUCUAAUGGUAUUAACUACGUAGGAACCUACAAAGAAUAUGCCAUCGUUGACCAUCGUCAAGCUAUUUCUAGCUCAACUGCAUUUGUCGCAAUCAAAGACCCAGGGUAUGGGGCAACAGACGUAAUGCUUUCUGCCUAUGAUUCAUGCGGAAGAAUCUGUCGUCCAUAUUGUAAAAUACCAAAUUCCCAAAAGGGCGAAUCACAACCAUGCUCUGGAUUGUUGCGCGUCACCUCAACGUAUCCAAAACUCUACGCCAAGGACUAUGGAGAGGCUGUUUUCAAUACUUGGAACUUGCGUAAGAACUGUCCUCAAAAAGAUGGCGGACAAGUCUAUAUGACCUUUUAUUGCGACUACGAAGAAGAUUGGCCAAUGCCUGGUAUAGUGCCAGUCGUUGUACCGACCCCUCCCCCAAUGCCUAUUCUUUUGAUACCAAGGCCACAACCACAAUCCACUGAAUCAACAUGUGAAAUUGGUAAUGGUUGCGUUUUACCGGGCGAGUGUAGGUUCUGCUUCGUGGGGACCGUGCAAAAGUGCGAGAAGAGCUGCGACCAGUACGCACGUUGUGUAUAUGGACAGUACAUUCCUGAGAAGUGUCCCCCGGGAACCAUGUAUGACGCCGCCCAACAUUUAUGCAUCCCGGGCACCUGUUCGGACGAAACGGAAAUCAAGCAUAAGUCGCUCGUGGUGGACACUGACCUUUAAAAACCUUAACGCUAUGAAUGUCGCCAACGUCUAUUAAAAUAAUUCUAUUUACAGAUACAUGUGCUGAAAUAAAUUUGCGCU
rnacentral:misc_RNA from 1 species